rnacentral:rRNA from 1 species
UACGUAGGGUCCAAGCGUUAUCCGGAAUCACUGGGCUUAAAGCGUGUGUAGGUGGAUGCCUAAGUACCUUGUGAAAUCCCACAGCUUAACUGUGGAACUGCUUGGUAUACUGGGUGUCUUGAGUCACUCAGGGGCGAGCGGAACAAAUGGUGGAGCGGUGAAAUGCGUAGAUAUCAUUUGGAACGCCAAUGGUGAAAACAGCUCGCUGGGGGUGUACUGACACUGAGACACGAAAGCCAGGGGAGCGAACGGG